CGCGCGCCAAGAGAGGACUUGGCUGGCGGGGAAACCCUGGCGAGCCCCAGUCGGAUACCCGGCAGCGAGAGGGUCCGAUCCCCCUUCUAGCGAUCGGGCCGAGCUACUGACUGCCCCUAAGGGCGCGGGACUCCAGUGUCUCACUGAAGGAAGACUUCACAGAAUCGGCUGAUCUUGCAAGCUUGCUUCAGCGCUCCCCCUGCCUCCUGUCUCCGGAGCCCCGGGGGUUACACACCCAGCGCUGAUGUUGAUCCUGAGCAUCUGACUGUGAACCUCACGUGUGCAUGGCAAGUGCUUUACCAACUGAGCUAUAUUCCAGCCGGCCCUCCUCUUCUUCUCUUUUAAUUGUGUGCCAUUCCACGUGAUCAGCAGCCUUGACACCCCAGGUCAUUUCCGGAAGCGAAGGAACGGGGCUGUGGGCCAGAGGUGUAUGUGGGCAUUCCUCUGGUCGCUGAGUGUCUCCCAACAGGCCUUACCAGAGAACUACCCCAAGCAGUCAUUACAGGGAGUGCCUGCCCAGCGGGUCUCCUGGGAGCCCUGACUUGGCUCCGUGCUUCUCCACCUUCAUAUGUAUCCAGAGCACAGCAAAGCCGCCUUCAGUAAUGAGGGCUCAGGAAAUUCAUUGCAUCCUCUCCCUUCCCCCUUCUUGGCACAUGCUGGUGGAAAGGUGCUAAUGGGUUCUGAUCCCAUUGGGUGAUUGUGCAGAAAAGAAGAGGGGAUAGAGCUUGCCGGAGGCGUGCAGAGGCGCUGGCCCACUGUGCAUGCUCCGGGUUUGGGGACACUGCUUUCCUUAUGUUUCUGGGCUGUGAGGUGUUUCAUGUUUGCUUAGGAAAAGGGGUGAAUGUAGGGAUGAACAUAGUGAAGCCAGACCUGGGCAGCAGGAAGGACAGACUGCCUGUCUCUGGUUUGGUGUGUGCGUUGUGUAGUGUAGGGUAGAAUUGAGUUGUGUUACAUUUCCUGGGGGGAUACUGAUACCUAUUCUCCCUUAGAUCGACAGGGCAGUGACUGAGACAAGUCAGCUUGGUGAACCAAUAAGAUUAUUGAGGUCACAGGAACAUGGGUGACUCAAAAGCAGCUAACUGCCUCACGAGAAAGUCCCACUCCAGCAUGGGUGUUGACAGGAAGAUGGCAUCACCGGAGCUCCCUGCACAGCAGAGGGCCACUCUUCUCUCCCCGGCAGUAGUUCACUGCUUGCAUAACCUCAGGAACGGGCCCCAUGAGUCUUAGUGUUUCUCACGAGUUUGGAGAACUCCCCGUUUUUCUUAAGCAAUGUUUUCAGUAUGUAGGAAGCUGCAACAUGUGGGUGUAUACGCACGCACACAUGUACUCUGCUUUCUCCUUGUCCAAAACGUCCUCUAUUCCUGAGCUACCUUUAAUCUUAACUGCAUGGUUGUGGUCUUAUUCCCUCCACAUUGUAGCAGUUGUGGAAACAACCCUUUUUCACUUCCCAUUUCCCCCAUAUUUGAGUUUCCCCACACACACAAACUCAUGAGUCAGCAAUGCAGAUGGGCCGCCUGGCAUCAUGUGUCCACCCCUGAGUGACCAUGAGGAAGGCCAGCACUCCACAGAGACAGGGUUCGUAAUCUUGCACCAUCCCCUCCACCCUUGACAGUCUUUAAGCACUGAUCUAGCAGAACCCCCACGACUAACCUCUUCUCGUGUACUAAACCGGUGCGCCUCAGUGUCUGUUACUGGGCCACACUAGUCUCUGCUUGGGGAUGAGGUUGAACCCCACCUCGAACCAGCAGGUUGAGACAAAACAUACUGUAAAGACUUAAGUCCUGGGUGCCACAUGCAGCUCCAUGGCUGAGCCUUUGUCUUGUAUGUGUGAGGUCCCAGAUCUGGUCCUGGACCCAACAGGAGAAAGGAAAACCAUAGAGUAAGCCUAGGAAGCUCCUUUCAGCUGGACAAGAACUAGAAAAAUUUAACAUAGAACACAGCUUGUUGUGGUUCAGUGGAGUUUCAUUGUUUAUGUCCACCAAGGGCCCAUGUGUUAAUAUUUGAUCCCAAGUUAGAUGUGGAGAUAACUGUGCUUUAAGAGGUGGGACCUUAUGUGAGGUCUUUAGGUCGUUGGCGCAUGCUCCAGAAAGGGGUUUGGGCACUUGUCUGUCUCACUCUCUGGAGUUGUGACUGCUCCUCCAUGGAUCUGACCACGACGUUAUGCUGUCCACUGCUCUCGCCAGAAGCUAAACCAAUGGAAUUGUCUGACCCUGGUGUUAAUAAAGCACUCUUCACUUCAUAA